GACGAACGCUGGCGGCGUGCCUAAUACAUGCAAGUAGAACGCUGAAGGAGGAGCUUGCUUCUCUGGAUGAGUUGCGAACGGGUGGGUAACGCGUAGGUAACCUGCCUGGUAGCGGGGGAUAACUAUUGGAAACGAUAGCUAAUACCGCAUAAUAGCAGUUAUUGCAUGAUAACUGUUUGAAAGGUGCAAUUGCACCACUACCAGAUGGACCUGCGUUGUAUUAGCUAGUUGGUGGGGUAACGGCUCACCAAGGCGACGAUACAUAGCCGACCUGAGAGGGUGAUCGGCCACACUGGGACUGGGACACGGCCCAGACUCCUACGGGAGGCAGCAGUAGGGAAUCUUCGGCAAUGGACGGAAGUCUGACCGAGCAACGCCGCGUGAGUGAAGAAGGUUUUCGGAUCGUAAAGCUCUGUUGUAAGAGAAGAACGAGUGUGAGAGUGGAAAGUUCACACUGUGACGGUAUCUUACCAGAAAGGGACGGCUAACUACGUG
rnacentral:rRNA from 1 species